AAUUUUCCGCAAUGGGCGAAAGCCUGACGGAGCAAUACCGCGUGGGGGAAGAAGGUUUUUGGAUUGUAAACCCCUUUUCUCAGGGAAGAAGAACUGACGGUACCUGAGGAAUAAGCAUCGGCUAACUCCGUGCCAGCAGCCGCGGUAAGACGGAGGAUGCAAGCGUUAUCCGGAAUUAUUGGGCGUAAAGCGUCCGCAGGUGGUUUCACAAGUCUGCUGUUAAAGACUGGGGCUUAACUCCAGAGCGGCGGUGGAAACUGUGAGACUAGAGUACGGUAGGGGUUGAGGGAAUUCCCAGUGUAGCGGUGAAAUGCGUAGAUAUUGGGAAGAACACCAGUGGCGAAGGCGCUCAGCUGGGCCGUAACUGACA
rnacentral:rRNA from 1 species